UACACAUGCAGUCGAACGGUAACAGGGAGCAGCUUGCUGCUUCGCUGACGAGUGGCGGACGGGUGAGUAAUGUCUGGGAAACUGCCUGAUGGAGGGGGAUAACUACUGGAAACGGUAGCUAAUACCGCAUAACGUCUUCGGACCAAAGUGGGGGACCUUCGGGCCUCAUGCCAUCAGAUGUGCCCAGAUGGGAUUAGCUAGUAGGUGGGGUAACGGCUCACCUAGGCGACGAUCCCUAGCUGGUCUGAGAGGAUGACCAGCCACACUGGAACUGAGACACGGUCCAGACUCCUACGGGAGGCAGCAGUGGGGAAUAUUGCACAAUGGGCGCAAGCCUGAUGCAGCCAUGCCGCGUGUAUGAAGAAGGCCUUCGGGUUGUAAAGUACUUUCAGCGGGGAGGAAGGUGUUGUGGUUAAUAACCACAGCAAUUGACGUUACCCGCAGAAGAAGCACCGGCUAACUCCGUGCCAGCAGCCGCGGUAAUACGGAGGGUGCAAGCGUUAAUCGGAAUUACUGGGCGUAAAGCGCACGCAGGCGGUCUGUUAAGUCAGAUGUGAAAUCCCCGGGCUCAACCUGGGAACUGCAUUUGAAACUGGCAGGCUUGAGUCUCGUAGAGGGGGGUAGAAUUCCAGGUGUAGCGGUGAAAUGCGUAGAGAUCUGGAGGAAUACCGGUGGCGAAGGCGGCCCCCUGGACGAAGACUGACGCUCAGGUGCGAAAGCGUGGGGAGCAAACAGGAUUAGAUAC
rnacentral:rRNA from 1 species